rnacentral:tRNA from 1 species
GGCGGAGUGGCUUAGCCUGGUUAGAGCACCGCGCUCAUAACGCGGGGGUCACGAGUUCAAAUCUCGUCUCCGCCA